rnacentral:rRNA from 1 species
AUUGAACGCUGGCGGCAUGCCUUACACAUGCAAGUCGAACGGCAGCACGGGUGCUUGCACCUGGUGGCGAGUGGCGAACGGGUGAGUAAUACAUCGGAACGUACCUUAUCGUGGGGGAUAACGCAGCGAAAGCUGUGCUAAUAUCGCAUACGCCCUGAGGGGGAAAGCGGGGGAUCGAAAGACCUCGCGCGAUUAGAGCGGCCGAUGCCUGAUUAGCUUGUUGGUGGGGUAAAAGCCCACCAAGGCGACGAUCAGUAGCUGGUCUGAGAGGACGAUCAGCCACACUGGGACUGAGACACGGCCGAGACUCCUACGGGAGGCAGCAGUGAGGAAUUUUGGACAAUGAGGGCAACCCUGAUCCAGCAAUGCCGCGUGAGUGAAGAAGGCCUUCGGGUUGUAAAGCUCUUUUGUCAUGGAAGAAACACCGGCUCUAACACAGUCCGGGAAUGACGGUACCUGAAGAAUAAGCACCGGCUAACUACGUGCCAGCAGCCGCGGUAA